rnacentral:rRNA from 1 species
CGCGUAGGCGGCCUGAUAAGUAGGGGGUGAAAUCCUGUGGCUCAACUGCAGGGCUGCCUCCUAGACUGUCGGGCUCGAGCACGGUAGAGGCAGAUGGAAUUCCCGGUGUAGCGGUGGAAUGCGUAGAGAUCGGGAAGAACAUCGGUGGCGAAGGCGGUCUGCUGGGCCGUUGCUGACGCUGAGGCGCGACAGCGUGGGGAGCAAACA